CUACCUCUCCCUCAAUAAUUCCCUAUCUCUCUAUCUUUUAUCUCUCUACCUCUUCUUCUCUACAAACUGACCUCAUAAACCAAAAUUUCCCUACUGUGUACCCAUUGCACACUAAGGUGCCAUUGCUAAUUGUACAUAAUUUGGGAAUAUUAAUGUGCAGCUGGCAUAUCCUCAACCGUCUAGGGCAUUGCAGGGAUCAUCGUGCCGGAGCCCUUAGCUGGAAGGCCGCCGGCGACAGAGAAGAUCUCCCACAAAAGAUUAGCCGUUGAGAGAAUGAUAACGGUAAAGAAAAUUCAAAAAAUGUUGAUGGAGACGGGAAAAAGCAUUUGAAAUUAACAUAAGGAUAAACAAUUCAGUUUCAUUCGGUUACAGACAUUCAUUCUUUCUCUGAUUGCCUCUCUCUGUCGAUGUUCUGUUCUGUGGUUGUAUCUUUUCAAUGUUCUGUUCUGUGAUUGUAUCUUUUCAAUAUUCUGUUCUUUCUAUCUGUUUUGUUCAAUUUUCAAGUGCUUGUUUCGUUUUCAUUUUUCAUUUUUCUUGUGUACAGUGUGCACGCUGGUCUGUCUGCCUUUUUUUUGUUUUUUGUCUGUCUGUUUAUUUUUUGUGGCAGAGGAGAGGAAAGGCAGAGGAGAGGAAGACGCAAAGCAACUGAGGGCAAAAUCUUCUUCCGGGCAUGAGAUGCAGGGCCUGCCAAGAGUUCGUAUAACCGAUGAAGAGAUGGGAAGUUUCUUACGACCUGCUUCCUAGAUCAACAGUAGCUGCUCUAGAAGGAAAACAUAUUUUCAAAACAGCUAACCCAGCGUUUGAAUUCUGUGUGUUCUCAGGAAAUGAGUUGAUCUUCACUUGCAUAGCUAAUCCAUUUGGAAUUUCUAUCAAGCACAGAUCCUAUGGAGAGGUUCUGUUCAACUUCUCUUAUGGAAGCUUGGUUUUCAUUAUCUGGUUUAGCUCCAUUAGAUGUGGUUCAGCGGUUUGCUGACCUCGUGGGAUAUACAGCUGCAAUGUCCUCUUGGGCUUCUGGCAUGAGACGCAAGACCCAGUAAGAGUUCAUAUAACCAAUGCAGAGAAGAAGAGAUGGGAAGUUCCUUAUGACCUCCUUCCUAGAUCACAAGUAGCUGCUUUAGAAGGAAGCCCUAUUCAAAAACAACUAUGGUUCGUCUCCAUUAGAUGUUCUUCAGAGGACACAGCUGCAAUGCCCUAUUGGGCUUUUGGAUUAUUGAGGUCGAAGUUGAAGUGCUUGAUGAGGUUGACAUUUCUUGUUUACACCAUUCCUUUUUCUAAGAUGAUAUUUUAAGAGCUAUUUUAAGAUGAUUUUUGACAAAGCACUUGAUGAAGUGAGAUUCUAAUGCAGGCAUGAGACGCACGACCCAGAAAGAGUUCAUAUAGCCAAUACAGAGAAGAAGAGAUGGGAAGUUCCUUAUGACCUCCUUCCUGGAUCACAAGUAGCUGCUUUAGAAGGAAGCCAUAUUACAAAAACAGCUAACCCAGUGUUUGAAUUCUCCGUGAUUGCAGGCAACGAAUUGAUCUAAUCCUGCACAGCCAAUCCAUUUGGAUUUUCCCUUGGAGAGGUUCGUCUCCAUUAGAUGUUCUUCAGCAGUUCACCGACUUCAUAGGACACAGCUGCAAUGCCCUGUUGAGCUUCUGUAAGUUGACAUACAAGUUAUGGGGGUUCGCUGGACUUAUACUUCUUUGCAGGUUCGUCUCCAUUAGAUGUUCUUCAGCAGUUCACCGACUUCAUAGGACACAGCUGCAAUGCCCUGUUGAGCUUCUGGAUCAUUGAAGUCGAAGUUGAAGUGCUUGAUGAGGUUUUCUAAGAUGAUAUUUUAAGAGUUUUUAUAUAGAUUUGGGAAACAUUGUAGCUGUACAUGGCGACUCUUGGAACAAGUGGGUUGAAGGUCACACUUCCAAGAAUGGUUGUCUAACAGUUUAAUUAAAAGAAGAUCCCAGAGAAAGCUGAACAGCUUUUUGAACUGGUUAUUUUUCACAAUUAUGGUGAGAGAAAGCCUAAGAUAGUGACAUUUGGUUUGUAUUCAGCAAGGAAUGGAAUUAGGUAUUGACCAUUUCUUUAAUAAUAUUUUGGUCAAGUGCAUUGACCUAAUACCAUUGUAACAUGUACAUAUAUGAUGUUUAAUAAUAAUAAAAAAUUAUUAGAAGGGGCUAAAGGCCUGCCCCUUCUAAAGACCAAAGGGAAUAG